AUUAAAAAGUACAAUCUAUCUACAAAGGAAUCUUAUCUUUUUGCUUUUAUCUUUGUCUUCCACUUAUCUUUACAUAAUUUCAAACUUCCUUUUUAUCUUGUCUGCCACCUUAUUUCCUUUGUUUGUAUCUGGUUUUGUACUUGUUAUCUUUAUCUCUUUUUCUCCUCCACCUUUCAUCAUUUUCUUCUUUUCUUUAUUCGAAAGCAACAUUUGGUAUAACUUUAUCUUCUCCGUUGCAUUUGGAACAUCUGUGAUCUAGCUGUAUUUAACCAAACAUUAUGGGUUUUACGGAGUUUCCCAUCGUCUCCUUUUAUCUCUGGAAUUUUACCGUCUUCCGAUUGACGUAGCUCCGCAUUUUUAUAGUCAUGCUGCUGACUUAUAUUAGCUUUAGACUUCACUUUAUCUUCAUUAGUCAUUAGCUUUUGUAUCUCAUUUUCCAUACUAUCCACUUUAGUACAAAAUGUAGUAAUGGCUUUGAGUAGCUUUUCAAUUGUAUCUUCAUCUUUGUUCUCAGUCUAAGUAGCUUUUCCUUGAUAAGUAGUCUGCAACACCAUUCUUAUUAGUCUUUAUCACUUCAAUUGUAAAUGUAAAAUUUAAUAUAUUUAAUACCAAUCUUCUAAUUUCCUUCCUUGUCUCUGAA